AGAAUUUUAGGGGUGCCUAAAUUUAGGGUGCUCAGUGGGUUAAGCUUCUUCCUUCAGCUCAGGUCAUGACCCCAGGGUCCUGGGAUGACCCCUGGCCGGGUGCCCUGCUCAGCGGCAAGUCUGCUUUUCUCCCUGACUCUGCUCCUUGCCUGCCAGUCGGCUCGUGCUCUUUCUCUCGGUCUCUCUCCCGGUCACUCUCUCAAAUAAAUGAAUAAAAUCUUUAAAAAAAAAAAAAAAAAAAAGAAUUUAGACGUCUCAUAAGUUCCUGGAUGGUUCUGCUGCUGCAGGUCAGAGGACUGCACUGUGGAACCAACCGUACUAAAGAACGAAAGGAUGAAUGCCAAGUAGUUUUGGUGCCAAACAGGGGCUUGGAAACAUGAUGUGAAAAUUCAACCCAUCAGCCAGCGUGUGGUUUCGCCCCGGCAGUUUCCUGCUCGCGCACGGAAAGGAGACAGUGGAGGCAGAGUCCAUCUGGGAGCAGGGUUUGUAGUGUUUCAUUGAGGAAUUACACACGUUCAGAGAACUGCACACGUCACAGGCGUCAACAGAUCACAACCCCGGCCCCAGAUCACCCACCGAACAGGACGUCUGAUCCUGGAAGCCCGCUGUUCCCUUCCAGCCACUCUCCAUCCCCAAGGGGAGGAUCUCACGCUGAAGACGCUGCCGGAAGAGGAGCUGAUGUCCGCCCCUCAGCUGAGGAAGCAGCUGGGAACGCAGCGGCCAGAGAGGCAGUGAGCACUGAGGGCCAACGUGUGGCUGCGUCCACAGCUCUGCACGACCCAGUGGCGGAGCAUGUCCCCCGCUCUCGAAGCCCCACGGACCUCACUGCCCUGCAUACCCCUCGCUCAUGACAGCAGAACUAAAGGGACCAGAGACAUCACUUCAUCCCGCCCCAACGAAGGAGAGACAGGUAGAUGGUCAAGAGUUCUGGGCACUGGGUCCCACCUUCCUUGGGUUCUAGAACGUUGCGGUCCAGCUCCUAAAGCAGGCUCUCUAUCUUGUGGGGUACAUAUAUGCUCCUGGUUCCAAGCCCCUGCUUCCCCUUCUGUCCCUGGAGAGGGUUGGAGGCAGCUGACCCAUACUGAGAUGAAGAGGGAGGAGGGCCUAGGCCAGCAGGACCCCCGAGAGCACCUGGUGCCCAGUCGAGGCACCCCUCCCUCCAAUCCCCUUCCCCCAGGCCCUCCUAGAUACAUCCACACACGUGCACCCAGGGCCAUCAUGUUCCCAGUUCUGGGACCAAAAUCAUCAGGCAAGUCAGGUCUUUCAGAUCACCUGAAAUACUAAACAGGAGGGUCCUCAAGAUCUCCUGGGCCAGGCCCUCAUCCACAGAUGAGGAAACGGGAGGCCCACUGGGAGGAUUCCUGGCCCCGGGCGGAUGGAGCCCCUUCCUCUUCCAAACCCAUUUUCUUAUUUCGCCUUCUCUUUAUUCACCCCCCAACACAGGACCCUCCUGGGUACCUGCUCUCUGCCCCCCCCCCCCCCGUCAUCCCACACACAGACACACGCGUAAGCACCUACGUAGGCCACAGCUUCAUUCACAGGAGGCCCCAGGGGCCACCGUAGCUGGUGUGCUGAUGUGACUGACCCAGGGCACCCACGGAGUUCAGAGACAGUGUGCCGUCAGGACCAGACUUCCAGAUUCUCCCCAGGCCCUGGGAGGAAAGCCAAAGUGUUUUUCUAGCCAAGUGCAAUGCAACCUCCCCGGAUGUUGAGGGGAGAAUGAGAGCCCGUGGACAGGGUCCCACCCUGCCUCUCCCCGGGAGCCAGCUGUAGACAGCGGGCACUCUCCAGAGCCUUGGCUCUCUAUGGCCGCUGAGCGGUGGGGACCGCUCCUUCCUGGCGGGGAGAAAGGGCGUGCUGGGGACCGGGCUGACAGCACAGGGCUGCUGAGUGCGAGCUCCGGCAGGCGGAGACCCAGCGACACGCUACUCAGCAGCGCCCCCUAGGCCUGGGGUGUGGGGCUACAUCUGCAUGAGCAAGGGGAUGGCGCACUCCCGGACCCGCCCCUGUGAGGGUGCCCUAUGUGCUCGCAGCAGUUUGGAUAGCACAGGCAAGCUGGGGUCUCCAUCAGACAAGAUGCAUCCCCUCUUUCCACCCUUCGGCUCCCUGACUCCCAGAAAAACGACAGCCUGAUGAGAUCUACAAGUAACCAGGGCUGAGAACAAAGCCCAAGUACCCCUGCCUCCGGUGAGCCACUCUGGGGGUGCGGGCUGACGGGACAUCCUCCGGAGGCCCCUUCUCCAAGCCCCCAGGGACAGGAUGACAACCUCAGACGGAAUUUACAACAGAAAUCACGAUGCUGUCAGGAACAGGGACCCGAAGCGGCAGGGGCAGAGAGAAACACCACAGGAAAAGAGCAGCCAGAAUCCACCAGCAAACCACGCAUGCCCCCACCUGAGAGGAGAGCCAAUGUCAAAAACACACACGCCCACCAUAUUCUUAAUAAUGCCUUUGACUUCUAUCUGAGAAGCAGCACCAGUACCAAGUAGCCACGCAGGGCUGCUGGCCUGGAAUGGAACCUGUUCCUACGCAGGCGCUGCUACCAGCAGCUUUGACUCUGGCCACAAGCUUCCAUGUGGUUUUCUGCAAAUCCCUUCAGGAAGGAGGACGCUGUAAGACUCCAUUUCCAUUCCAAGAAGAUCGUGCGCAGCAACGCUCCGCACCUCGUGUGCCUGUCCAGCUCCUCACGAAGAAGUGUGCGGCUUCUAGCAGAGUCCCACGUCCCUGGGUCCCUCUCUGUCCUGGCAGACAGGACAGGGGGUCCCUCCGCCUUUAUUUACAUCUGCAUUUCCCAGCAGAAUGGAGGAGAAAAGAUAAAGUUUCCAUGAUUCAAGUACAUCUGGGGAAUGCUGAGUUAAGCGGAAGCAGUAAGGGGCCUUCGAGAUCUGGGAGCAUUUAAGAUCAUGAUAGGCACUGAUUUUCCAAGAAGGGGUAGAGUAGGCAGCCUUUCCCAAACUAUUUGGAACAUGUUUCUCUUUUAUUCAUGAAAAGCUUCCUAUUCAUUUAUCAAACAAUUACUGAGAGCCUGACUGUUACUAUCUUAAGGACCACUGGUGUUCUCUUUAGGCGUACUCUGAGA